rnacentral:tRNA from 1 species
ACCAGCGUGGCCUAGAGUUUUGAGUGCUGGACUAGGACUCUGGAGACCAGGGUUCGAUUCCUAGCUCUGCCA